UUCACUACUGCUACUAGUCCGGGUUCCCUAUUUGGAUCAGGAACAAAGAAAGCAAGCUUGUGUUUGUUUGGAUCAAACACGUCACCAGAAUGUGGGGUGAAUUUAUUCACCCCGUAGCGUGGCAGAAUCUAAAAAUACAAUUAGAAGCUGAUAAUCACCAAUCACACAAGAAAUUAAUAACAUCAUAUAAACAUCGAGUUACCCAAUUGUCGCCUGUUCAACAAAAAUUACGAGAAAAUCAUUCAUCAGGCAUCAUACAUCCCAAUGGGACCGAAAGAGGCCAUCACUAUUCACUACUUCAUUCAGGUCAUAAACUAAAACCCACAUAACAGGCUACGAAAGAAAAUCAAAUCAUCCACAAACAGCUAAAGAAAAACAUUAAAAAAAAAAAUAGUAGUACUAGUAGCAAAUUAGCAACUAAACAAAAGGGCUCAACUUGGACUUUACACUCCUUACGUAGUUUGAUGUUCGUUCAGCACAAAAAACGAUUACGGGGAUAGAAAAAGGUAUUAUUUACCUUAGAAAGUCCAUCCUCACAUAUUUCUGCAUUAGUCACAAGAUCUUUAAAAAGAUCCUGCAAACAUAUUCAAAGCCAUUAGGGUUUAAGAGCUCCGUUUUUUCUUUUUUUUUUUGCUUUUUUUUGAGUUAAAAAAAAAGCAAGAAGGAGGAGAGACUUACUCUUAAACCUUGGGUCUUAACCACCUCCUCCUCCGUGGGAUGGAUACGAGGUUCAAAUCUCUUCUCGAACAACAUAUUGAUGUGAGAAUCAAUAUCUGCUUUGUCCUUAGUUUGCCUGUUUUCGUAUUGUUCAAAAUCUAUAUCUGCUUUUUUACAGAGA
rnacentral:lncRNA from 1 species